GCAGCCUUCUUUGGGGGGAAAAAAGUGCCUUACUGACUGUAGCCAUUACAGUAGCCAGUGUAUUUUCACAGAUGCCUAUCCUUUUUUUAAACAGUUCUCAUGUUUCUUUUUUUCUUUCUUGGUUGGUUCUAUUUCUUACUGCUCACCACCUCUGAAAUCCCCAGCGUGUCACGGGGCCAUUGGAUUUUUUCCAUUAUGUUCAUUACCCUUGUACCAUGUACCUCAGAUCUCUCUCUCUCUCAGUUACAGUUUCUCGUCUUGGACUUUCUUUUAUUAUUAUUAUAAUUUUUUUUUUUUUUUUUUUUAUUA
rnacentral:lncRNA from 1 species